rnacentral:rRNA from 1 species
CGCGUAGGCGGUUUUGUAAGUCGAAUGUGAAAGCCCCGGGCUUAACCUGGGAAUUGCGUUCGAUACUGCGAAACUAGAGUACGGUAGGGGGAAGUGGAAUUCCGGGUGUAGCGGUGAAAUGCGUAGAUAUCCGGAGGAACACCAGUGGCGAAGGCGACUUCCUGGGCCAGUACUGACGCUGAGGUGCGAAAGCGUGGGGAGCAAACA